UACGUAGGGAGCGAGCGUUGUUCGGAUUUACUGGGCGUAAAGGGCGCGUAGGCGGCCACCGCAAGUCGAUUGUGAAAUCUCCGGGCUUAACCCGGAAAGGUCAACCGAUACUGCGGGGCUAGAGUGCAGAAGGGGCAACUGGAAUUCUCGGUGUAGCGGUGAAAUGCGUAGAUAUCGAGAGGAACACCUGCGGCGAAGGCGGGUUGCUGGGCUGACACUGACGCUGAAGUGCGAAAGCUAGGGGAGCGAACGGG
rnacentral:rRNA from 1 species